GUGCUACAGUGCUUAUAAGCAUGAUGUUAGGUGUUUGCACAUAUGUGCGACAUGUUCCUCCCUUAAAUCUUGUUAUACACUUGAUACAUUAACGACCUGACA